rnacentral:lncRNA from 1 species
AUUCCAGGAAGCGUUUGCACAUCCUGGCCCCAGAAGAUUUUGCGUAGCCUCACCAAGAGAAGAAGUUGGAAAGAAAAAAAAAGAAGUUGGCAAGGCAUCCAGAGGAGACCCCGCCAGCACCUGGGUUCUCUGCCAGGGGAGAGAGUUAUGAAGAAGACUUGAGCAGGCAGUCCAGAGCUGAUACAGCUGCUCCAAUCACCAGAGAUGCAAUCUCCUGCUAGAUGUCUUCACAUCUACCUUUCUAUGUCACAUGUGCAAGAUGGUUGCUCUGCCUUCAGACAUCACAUUUACAUUCCAGGCAGAAAGGAGAAGGAAAGAGCAAAAGAUGUGUUCCGAACAAAUCCAUCUUAAAAACAAACAAGGGGAGGGGUAGCAGGAGAAAAUUUAAAAAGAAGAAGAAGAAAAACAAAAACAGGAAAGCCGUUGUUUCCCUAAAAGCCCCAUCAAGCCGACUUCUACCGGUGACUCAUUACCCAGUCAUGUGGCCACCCCUGGAUUCAAGGCAGUCUGAGGAGCCAGGGUCUUGCUCUGUCACCCAAGCUGGAGUGCAGUAGCACAAUCAAAGUUUUCUACAGCCUUG